CCUUCGACGUUGUUUAUGGCGUUUCUGAUUUCACUAACUGUCACUAGCAGCAUUUAUUUCACAACAAAUCGACAUUUAUGUGUUUAGAAACCUGUAUUUGCUAAAUUAUCACCAUAUGGAUGGAACAAAAGUCUAAAACAACGUAGAGACGACAGCUUUAAGACAGCUGUCUUAAGUAACAACGGCGUGAAUAAUGGCUAUGAGAUUGAUGCGUCUAUUUUUAUUAAGCUAGUAGCAUAAAAUAAAAACAUCGCUGCAGAGGUGCCUCUAUAUUUACAUUUCAUUAGUUGCCAAACAUAUGCUUUGUGCGUUACUACAUUGAUAACAUUAGCUUGCGUGCAAGCAACGUAGACACUACUGUCACCAAGUUUAGUGCUGCAAAAGCAUUUAUACAGUAUUUCAUGUCAUUUCCUAGUAUUGUGGUCGUGCAAAAGACAUAAAUCGCCCAAACUGUUAUUUCUUGGCUCAUUUAGUCGCAGGAGGCGCUGGCAUAAGUGCCUGCAGGCCUCUUUGAUACACUGUGCUGGUUUGAGGUUUCCUGACAUGACUCUGACAGGGCUCUGCUUGCCUUGGAUGGCAGAAAGGACAUAAGUUGUUAAGGAUCUUGAGGUUUCAGAGGGUUUGCCAAAGUCAAUUCUGGCCUGAGCAGCAGCUGUAUGUAGUUUUUUUUUAACUGGCACGUUAUACCAGUCCAGCUUAGCAUGGCAGUCAGCAUCACACAGUGCCUUCAAGUUUAUGUAUAGCACCCUAAAAUACCCCUGGACCCCUUUCUUCUGUAACAGUGCCCAGAUGAAUACUGGAACCAUAUGCAUGUUAUGGAGCCAAAUGCACCAUCGUAAGUGCUGCUGUAGACGUCCUGUGACAUCGGUACUAAAGAGCGUGAGGCUGUCUGUCAUCACCAGGCGUCGCUUGGCUCUGUCUGGCUCUUUCAGACCUGCCACGUCUCUCAGCAUGCUUUUUGUCUUCCCUCUAAUAACCCGUCGCACAUGUUGGGAACUCCAAAUGAGGCCACAGCAACAUCUCUAAUUUACGUCAUCUGUGAAUUCUGUGGCUGGUGAAAGAAGGUCUGGAAGAGAGUCUGUCAAGAUGUAUCACACAAGUGUAAUGGCUGACAUCUCAAAUGCAAAUGAGGUAAGGAAAAAAUCCCUUUUUCUUCCACAUACAAGACAUGUAAUAG